rnacentral:rRNA from 1 species
UACGUAGGUGGCAAGCGUUGCCCGGAAUUAUUGGGCGUAAAGCGCGCGCAGGUGGUUUCUUAAGUCUGAUGUGAAAGCCCACGGCUCAACCGUGGAGGGUCAUUGGAAACUGGGGAACUUGAGUGCAGGAGAGAAGAGUGGAAUUCCACGUGUAGCGGUGAAAUGCGUAGAGAUGUGGAGGAACACCAGUGGCGAAGGCGACUCUUUGGCCUGUAACUGACACUGAGGCGCGAAAGCGUGGGGAGCAAACAGG